rnacentral:rRNA from 1 species
UACGUAGGGUGCAAGCGUUAAUCGGAAUUACUGGGCGUAAAGGGCGCGUAGGCGGCCUUCUAAGUCAGACGUGAAAUCCCCCGGCUUAACCUGGGAACUGCGUCUGAUACUGGAAGGCUUGAGUGCGGGAGAGGGAUGUGGAAUUCCAGGUGUAGCGGUGAAAUGCGUAGAUAUCUGGAGGAACACCGGUGGCGAAGGCGGCAUCCUGGACCGACACUGACGCUGAGGCGCGAAAGCUAGGGUAGCAAACGGG